AUACGUAGGUGGCAAGCGUUGUCCAGAUUUACUGGGUGUAAAGGGCGCGUAGGCGGGAUGGCAAGUCAGAUGUGAAAUCUCCGGGCUCAACCCGGAAACUGCAUUUGAAACUGUCGUUCUUGAGUAUCGGAGAGGCAAGCGGAAUUCCUAGUGUAGCGGUGAAAUGCGUAGAUAUUAGGAGGAACACCAGUGGCGAAGGCGGCUUGCUGGACGACAACUGCCGGUGAGGCGCGAAAGCGUGGGGAGCAAACAGGAUUAGAUACCCCGGUAGUCCACGCCGUAAACGAUGAAUACUAGGUGUGGGGGGACUGACCCCCUCCGUGCCGCAGUUAACACAAUAAGUAUUCCACCUGGGGAGUACGGCCGCAAGGUUGAAACUUAAAGGAAUUGACGGGG
rnacentral:rRNA from 1 species